rnacentral:rRNA from 1 species
UACAGAGGUCUCAAGCGUUGUUCGGAUUCAUUGGGCGUAAAGGGUGCGUAGGCGGCGCGGUAAGUCGGGUGUGAAAUCUCGGAGCUUAACUCCGAAACUGCAUUCGAUACUGCCGUGCUUGAGGACUGGAGAGGAGACUGGAAUUUACGGUGUAGCGGUGAAAUGCGUAGAUAUCGUAAGGAAGACCAGUGGCGGAAGGCGGGUCUCUGGGACAGUUCCUGACGCUGAGGCACGAAGGCCAGGGGAGC